CUCCAAUGGAGCAAGACAGUAAUCACAUCUCUGAAGUUUUGUCAUUCUGAAAGGUUAUUCAGAUUGUAAUAUCGUACAGUAGCAUACCGUACAUUGAUUGGUCAUUGGUGACUAUAGUCAACUUGCCCGGUGUUUGCUAGGGGGUUUUGAGGUUUAGUUUUGUUUCGCUUUGCCUUUUGUUUCGGAUACUUACUCCACAGAAAUAAAGAACCUAAAGAAUGCUACUCAGUCGUGAAGUGUGUUCUUAUUAAGCGUCACAGUAAUAA